GGCGCCAACACCCCCCAGCGGAAAAAUGGCCAAAAAACGUGUGCGCUAUAGCCUUGGUGGGGGGCGUGGGCGAAGUUCGUCCGCCGGACUCGGAAUGGCCCCAGACUUUGCGGGCGGCCUCCGUGUGCCAAAAAUAGGCCACGGGCACAGCCGCGCCCAAAAAUGAGCGCCCGAAGUUCGGGGCGCCAACACCCCCAGCGGAAAAUUGGCCGAAAAACGGGUGGCCUAUAGCCUUGGUGGGGGGCGUGGGCGAAGUUCGUCCGCCGGACUCGGAAUGGCCCCAGACUUUGCGGGCGGCCUCCGUGUGCCAAAAAUAGGCCACGGGCACAGCCGCCCCAAAAAAUGAGCGCCCGAAGGUCGGGGCGCCAGCACCCCCCAGCGGAAAAAUGGCCAAGAAACGGGUGUGCUAUAGCCUUGGCGGGGGGCGUGGGCGAAGCUCGUCCGCCGGACUCGGAAUGGCCCCAGACUUUGCGGGCGGCCUCCGUGUGCCAAAAAUAGGCCACGGGCACAGCCGCGCCCAAAAAUGAGCGCCCGAAGGUCGGGGCGCCAACACCCCCCAGCAGAAAAAUGGCCCAGAAACGGGUGUGCUAUAGCCUUGGCGGGGGGCGUGGGCGAAGUUCUUCCGCCGGACUCGGAAUGGCCCCAGACUUUGCGGGUGGCCUCCGUGUGCCAAAAAUAGGCCACGGGCACAGCCGCGCCCAAAAAUGAGCGCCCGAAGGUCGGGGCGCCAACACCCCCCAGCGGAAAAAUGGCCAAAAAACGGGUGGGCUAUAGCCUUGGCGGGGGGCGUGGGCGAAGUUCGUCCGCCGUACUCGGAAUGGCCCCAGACUUUGCGGGCGGCAACCGUGCGCCAAAAAUAGUCCACGGGCACAGCCGCGCCCAAAAACGAGCGCCCGAAGGUCGGGGCGCCAACACCCCCCAGCGGAAAAUUGGCCGAAAAACGGGUGGCCUAUAGCCUUGGUGGGGGGCGUGGGCGAAGUUCGUCCGCCGGACUCGGAAUGGCCCCAGACUUUACGGGCGGCCUCCGUGUGCCAAAAAUAGGCCACGGGCACAGCCGCGCCCAAAAAUGAGCUCCCGAAGGUCGGGUUCCAACACCCCCCAGCGGAAAAUUGGCCAAAAAACGUGUGGGCUAUAGCCUUGGUGGGGGGCGUGGGCGAAGUUCGUCCGCCGGACUCGGAAUGGCCCCAGACUUUGCGGGCGGCCUCCGUGUGCCAAAAAUAGGCCACGGGCACAGCCGCGCCCAAAAAUGAGCGCCUGAAGGUCGGGGCGCCAACACCCCCCAGCGGAAAAUUGGCCGAAAUACGGGUGGCCUAUGGCCUUGGUGGGGGGCGUGGGCGAAGUUCGUCCGCCGGACUCGGAAAGGCCCCAGACUUUGCGGGCGGCCUCCGUGUGCCAAAAAUAGGCCACGGGCACAGCCGCGCCCAAAAAUGAGCUCCCGAAGGUCGGGUUCCAACACCCCCCAGCGGAAAAUUGGCCAAAAAACGGGUGGGCUAAAGCCUUUGCAGGGGGCGUGGGCGAAGUUCGUCCGCCGGACUCGGAAAGGCCCCAGACUUUGCGGGCGGCCUCCGUGUGCCAAAAAUAGGCCACGGGCACAGCCGCGCCCUAAAAUGAGCUCCCGAAGGUCGGGUUCCGACACCCCCCAGCGGAAAAAUGGCCAAAAAACGUGUGGGCUAUAGCCUUGGUGGGGGGGCGUGGGCGAAGUUCGUCCGCCGGACUCGGAAUGUCCCCAGACUUUGCGGGCGGCCUCCGUGUGCCAAAAAUAGGCCACGGGCACAGCAGCGCCCAAAAAUGAGCGCCCGAAGGUCGGGCGGCCAACACCCACCAGCGGAAAAAUGGCCAAAAAACGGGUGUGCUAUAGCCUUGGCGGGGGUCGUGGGCGAAGUUCGUCCGCCGGACUCGGAAUGGCCCCAGACUUUGCGGGCGGCCUCCGUGUGCCAAAAAUAGGCCACGGGCACAGCCGCGCCCAAAAAUGAGCGCCCGAAGGUCGGGGCGCCAACACCCCCCAGCGGAAAAAUGGCCAAAAAACGGGUGGGCUAUAGCCUUGGCGGGGGGCGUGGGCGAAGUUCGUCCGCCGUACUCGGAAUGGCCCCAGACUUUGCGGGCGGCAACCGUGCGCCAAAAAUAGUCCACGGGCACAGCCGCGCCCAAAAACGAGCGCCCGAAUGUCGGGGCGCCAACACCCCCCAGCGGAAAAUUGGCCGAAAAACGGGUGGCCUAUAGCCUUGGUGGGGGGCGUGGGCGAAGUUCGUCCGCCGGACUCGGAAUGGCCCCAGACUUUACGGGCGGCCUCCGUGUGCCAAAAAUAGGCCACGGGCACAGCCGCGCCCAAAAAUGAGCUCCCGAAGGUCGGGUUCCAACACCCCCCAGCGGAAAAUUGGCCAAAAAACGUGUGGGCUAUAGCCUUGGUGGGGGGCGUGGGCGAAGUUCGUCCGCCGGACUCGGAAUGGCCCCAGACUUUGCGGGCGGCCUCCGUGUGCCAAAAAUAGGCCACGGGCACAGCCGCGCCCAAAAAUGAGCGCCCGAAGGUCGGGGCGCCAACACCCCCCAGCGGAAAAAUGGCCAAAAAACGGGUGGGCUAUAGCCUUGGAGGGGGGCGUGGGCGAAGUUCGUCCGCCGGACUCGGAAUGGCCCCAGACUUUGCGGGCGGCCUCCGUGCGCAAAAAAUAGGCCACGGGCACAGCCGCGCCCAAAAAUGAGCGCCCGAAGGUCGGGCCGCCAACACCCCCCAGCGGAAAAAUGGCCAAAAAACGGGUGGGCUAUAGCCUUUGGCGGGGGGCGUGGGCGAAGUUCGUCCGCCGGACUCGGAAUGGCCCCAGACUUUGCGGGCGGCCUCCGUGUGCCAAAAAUAGGCCACGGGCACAGCCGCGCCCAAAAAUGAGCGCCCGAAGGUCGGGGCGCCAACACCCCCCAGCAGAAAAAUGGCCCAGAAACGGGUGUGCUAUAGCCUUGGCGGGGGGCGUGGGCGAAGUUCUUCCGCCGGACUCGGAAUGGCCCCAGACUUUGCGGGCGGCCUCCGUGUGCCAAAAAUAGGCCACGGGCACAGCCGCGCCCAAAAAUGAGCGCCCGAAGGUCGGGGCGCCAACACCCCCCAGCGGAAAAAUGGCCCAGAAACGGGUGUGCUAUAGCCUUGGCGGGGGUUGUGGGCGAAGUUCGUCCGCCGGACUCGGAAUGGCCCCAGACUUUGCGGGCGGCCUCCGUGUGCCAAAAAUAGGCCACGGGCACAGCCGCGCCGAAAAAUGAGCCCCUGAAGGUCGGGGCGCCAACACCCCCCAGCGGAAAAUUGGCCGAAAUACGGGUGGCCUAUGGCCUUGGUGGGGGGCGUGGGCGAAGUUCGUCCCCCGGACUCGGAAAGGCCCCAGACUUUGCGGGCGGCCUCCGUGUGCCAAAAAUAGGCCACGGGCACAGCCGCGCCCAAAAAUGAGCGCCCGAAGGUUGGGGCGCCAACACCCCCCAGCGGAAAAUUGGCCGAAAAACGGGUGGCCUAUAGCCUUGGUGGGGGGCGUGGGCGAAGUUCGUCCGCCGGACUCGGAAUGGCCCCAGACUUUGCGGGCGGCCUCCGUGCGCCAAAAAUAGGCCACGGGCACAGCCACGCCCAAAAAUGAGCAUCUGAAGGUCGGGGCGCCAACACCCCCCAGCGGAAAAAUGGCCAAAAAACGUGUGCGCUAUAGCCUUGGUGGGGGGCGUGGGCGAAGUUCGUCCGCCGGACUCGGAAUGGCCCCAGACUUUGCGGGCGGCCUCCGUGUGCCAAAAAUAGGCCACGGGCACAGCCGCGCCCAAAAAUGAGCGCCCGAAGUUCGGGGCGCCAACACCCCCAGCGGAAAAUUGGCCGAAAAACGGGUGGCCUAUAGCCUUGGUGGGGGGCGUGGGCGAAGUUCGUCCGCCGGACUCGGAAUGGCCCCAGACUUUGCGGGCGGCCUCCGUGUGCCAAAAAUAGGCCACGGGCACAGCCGCCCCCAAAAAUGAGCGCCCGAAGGUCGGGGCGCCAGCACCCCCCAGCGGAAAAAUGGCCAAGAAACGGGUGUGCUAUAGCCUUGGCGGGGGGCGUGGGCGAAGCUCGUCCGCCGGACUCGGAAUGGCCCCAGACUUUGCGGGCGGCCUCCGUGUGCCAAAAAUAGGCCACGGGCACAGCCGCGCCCAAAAAUGAGCGCCCGAAGGUCGGGGCGCCAACACCCCCCAGCGGA
rnacentral:lncRNA from 1 species